UACGGAGGGAGCUAGCGUUGUUCGGAAUUAUUGGGCGUAAAGAGCUCGUAGGCGGUGUGUCGCGUCGGCCGUGAAAACCUGCAGCUUAACUGUGGGCUUGCGGUCGAUACGGGCAUCACUGGAGUUCGGCAGGGGAGACUGGAAUUCCUGGUGUAGCGGUGAAAUGCGCAGAUAUCAGGAGGAACACCGGUGGCGAAGGCGGCGUCCUGGACCAAUACUGACACUGAGGAGCGAAAGCCAGGGGAGCAAACGGG
rnacentral:rRNA from 1 species